CAAAUGAUGUCUUCACUAUGACAAACCUCUUUGUUAUGAGCCUUGCUUGAUGAUAUUUCAGUAUUUGUCUUUCAGAUCAAUGAACAAUUCCACAGGCUCACCGCAAAGCAUCUUGAGGCAAGGUUUAUGCAGGACACCCCUAAGCUGCUGUCCUUAUUCCAUUCCAAGGGAGGAGUACUUUCAGAGAGAUUGCGGGUCAUGCUGGAUGGAAGCUGAGGGGGGUCAUUUCCUGCAAGACCUUGCGCAACAUGUAAAGCAAAUCUAUGCGAUCAACAAGGAGGGUGCCGUGGCGAGUGAUGGUCCAGAGGAGCAGGUCAGGAACGGUGUCCUCUACCACAGGCCCGCUUGUUGUUGGUGAAGCCGCCUGGGGCACAGAAUCUGUGCUGGGACCAACCUCUGCCUACCGGGGGAUGGUCACCGAGAGGCGGGGCUCGAGCACAUUGCGGUCUGGGACCCCGUCCCGAUGGGCCCGUGGCGGUCAUCUAGGCUAAAGAGGUUAGAGGGUAAGGAAGACACGUUUAUUCUGCAAGGUGUGUUUUAAAGGGUCACUGCCACAGUAUUUUCCAUUGUGUUUUUGUAUACAAGAGAUACCAAAUAGGUGUUUUUAAUGAAGGAUGUCAUUGUAAAAUGUAAUGUCCAUUUUGUUCCCAUACAGUUGCGGUUUGAAAUGUCCAUUUUUGAAUACGUUGUACGUACCAUUUUGAGGUUUCAUCAUCAAGGUACACACCUUUUACCACUGGUAUUUUGACAAUUCUACCAUCAAUCAAUCAAUCAAUGAAGUGGAUCUAUAAAGCCCUUUUUACAUCAACAGAUGUCACAAAGUGCUAUGC